UACGGAAGGCAGCAGUGGGGAAUAUUGCACAAUGGGCGAAAGCCUGAUGCAGCUAUGCCGCGUGUAUGAAGAAGGCCUUAGGGUUGUAAAGUACUUUCAUCAGGGAGGAAAAACAAAACUAAUAAUUUUAUUUCUUGACGUUACCCGAAAAAGAAGCACCGGCUAACUCCGUGCCAGCAGCCGCGGUAAUACGGAGGGUGCUAGCGUUAAUCAGAAUUACUGGGCGUAAAGAGCACGUAGGUGGUUUUUUAAGUUCAGAUGUGAAAUCCCUGGGCUUAACCUAGGAACUGCAUUUUGAAACUGAAAUACUAGAGUAUCGUAGAGGGAGGUAGAAUUCUAGGUGUAGCGGUGAAAUGCGUAGAUAUCUGGAGGAAUACCUGUGGCGAAAGCGGCCUCCUAAACGAAUACUGACACUGAGGUGCGAAAGCGUGGGGAGCAAACAGGGAUUAGAUACC
rnacentral:rRNA from 1 species